GCGGAUAUGGUGGAAUUGGUAGACACGCUGGAUUUAGGUUCCAGUAGCGUCAGCUGUAGGAGUUCGAGUCUCCUUAUCCGCACCA
rnacentral:tRNA from 1 species